GACGAACGCUGGCGGCGUGCUUAACACAUGCAAGUCGAACGAUGAAGCCGGAGCUUGCUCUGGUGAAUUAGUGGCGAACGGGUGAGUAACACGUGAGUAACCUGCCCUUGACUCUGGGAUAACUGCGGGAAACUGUAGCUAAUACCGGAUACGACCCUCGGAGGCAUCUCCUGGGGGUGGAAAGAAUUUCGGUCAAGGAUGGACUCGCGGCCUAUCAGCUAGUUGGUGAGGUAAAGGCUCACCAAGGCGACGACGGGUAGCCGGCCUGAGAGGGUAACCGGCCACAAUGGGACUGAGACACGGCCCAGACUCCUACGGGAGGCAGCAGUGGGGAAUAUUGCACAAUGGGCGCAAGCCUGAUGCAGCAGCGCCGCGUGAGGGAUGACGGCCUUCGGGUUGUAAACCGCUUUUAGCAGGGAAGAAGCGAAAGUGACGGUACCUGCAGAAAAAGCACCGGCUAACUACGUGCCAGCAGCCGCCGUAA
rnacentral:rRNA from 1 species